rnacentral:rRNA from 1 species
UACGUAGGGUGCAAGCGUUGUCCGGAUUUAUUGGGCGUAAAGAGCGUGUAGGCGGUUUGGUAGGUCCGUUGUGAAAACUCGAGGCUCAACCUCGAGACGCCGAUGGAAACCAUCAGACUAGAGUCCGGAAGAGGAGAGUGGAAUUCCGUGGUGUAGCGGUGAAAUGCGCAGAUAUCAGGAAGAACACCCGUGGCUAAGGCGGCUCUCUAGUACGGUACUGACGCUGAGACGCGAAAGCGUGGGGAGCGAACAGG